UUCGCAAUGCCCGAAAGGGUGACGAAGCGACGCCGCGUGGGUGAAGAAGGCCUUCGGGUUGUAAAACCCUGUCAGGAGUUAUGAAAUGUAAGUGCGCUAAUAUCGUGCUUAUUUGACAAAGGCUCCAAAGGAAGCCACGGCUAACUCUGUGCCAGCAGCCGCGGUAAUACAGAGGUGGCGAGCGUUGUUCGGAAUUAUUGGGCGUAAAGAGCACGUAGGUGGGUUUGCAAGUCAGAUGUGAAAGCCUUCUGUUCAACGGAAGAAUUGCAUCUGAAACUGCUGAUCUUGAGUAUAGGAGGGGAGAAUGGAACUUCUGGUGGAGCGGUGAAAUGCGUAGAUAUCAGAAGGAACGCCGGCGGCGAAAGCGAUUCUCUGGCCUAUUACUGACACUCAGUGUGCGAAAGCUAGGGGAGCAAACGGGAUUAGAUACCCCGGUAGUCCUAGCCGUAAACGAUGGGCACUAAGUAGAGGGGUUUU
rnacentral:rRNA from 1 species